AACGGUCUAUACCUGCGGUACCUGCGGAGGGAUCAUUAUUGAAUCCUUAGGAUGUUGCUGGCCCCCUGGGCAUGUGCACUCCGCCUUUCAAUACACCUGUGAACCUAUUGUAGGUGGCAUUAUUGCUGUCUACGUUUUUUUUAAACACUCAAAUGUACGCUGAAUGUAUAAUGGUUGAUAAAACUUAAUACAACUUUUAACAAUGGAUCUCU
rnacentral:misc_RNA from 1 species